AUUGAACGCUGGCGGCAGGCCUAACACAUGCAAGUCGAGCGGAUGAAGGGAGCUUGCUCCUGGAUUCAGCGGCGGACGGGUGAGUAAUGCCUAGGAAUCUGCCUGGUAGUGGGGGAUAACGUCCGGAAACGGGCGCUAAUACCGCAUACGUCCUGAGGGAGAAAGUGGGGGAUCUUCGGACCUCACGCUAUCAGAUGAGCCUAGGUCGGAUUAGCUAGUUGGUGGGGUAAAGGCCUACCAAGGCGACGAUCCGUAGCUGGUCUGAGAGGAUGAUCAGUCACACUGGAACUGAGACACGGUCCAGACUCCUACGGGAGGCAGCAGUGGGGAAUAUUGGACAAUGGGCGCAAGCCUGAUCCAGCCAUGCCGCGUGUGUGAAGAAGGUCUUCGGAUUGUAAAGCACUUUAAGUUGGGAGGAAGGGCAGUAAGUUAAUACCUUGCUGUUUUGACGUUACCAACAGAAUAAGCACCGGCUAACUUCGUG
rnacentral:rRNA from 1 species